CAAGAGAGUUUGUUGGAGAGACCCACAGGGUCCUAGAAAGUAUACAAGCCCACCCACACAGGACCCAGCACCAGACGCCCCAUUUGCUUGUAGGAAGCGGCAAAGGGGACUGAAAUCCAACAGAGUGGAGCAAGCGCCUUUGUUCCCUGUUGGACCCUGCCCCCAUAUACAGUGUCCCAACCCAGCAACUGGGUUGCCCCACCCUGGUGAACACCUAAGGCUCCGCCCCUCAUAAGUAACAGCCAUGACAGGAACAA